AAAUGAAUUACCUGGAGAUCUUGUUAAAGUGCAGAUUCUGAUCUACCAGGUCUGGGCUAGGCGGGAGAAUCUGCAUUUCUAACAAGCUCCCAGGAUGAUGCUGAA
rnacentral:pre_miRNA from 1 species